AGUAUUAGUUAAGGUCUUGAAACCCAAAGAAUUUGGCGGCAUUUUAUUCUGUUCAGAGGAACCUGCCCCGUAAUUGAUAGUACACGAUUAACUUUACUUAAUCUAUUUGUUUGUAUAUCUCCGUUAUUCAGAGGAUCUUUUUAGAGUUUAAAAUUUUCGGGAUUCAUGAUUUUGAAGUAUUUCAGGUCAAGGUGCAGUUUAUGAUUAAGAGGAGGUGGGUUACAAUAAGUUUAGGCUUAUUACGGGAUUUUUGAUUAAAUUUCAUUAAUUAAGGUGGAUUUGAUAGUAAUUUGAUUUAUUUAAGUUAAUUGAUGUUAGCUCUGAAGUGCGU
rnacentral:rRNA from 1 species